GGGUGAGUGGCGGAAUUGGUAGACGCGCUGGAUUUAGGUUCCAGUUCCUCACGGAGUAAGGGUUCGAGUCCCUUCUUGCCCACCA
rnacentral:tRNA from 1 species